UACGGAGGGGGCUAGCGUUGUUCGGAAUUACUGGGCGUAAAGCGCACGUAGGCGGCUUUGUAAGUUAGAGGUGAAAGCCCGGGGCUCAACUCCGGAAUUGCCUUUAAGACUGCAUCGCUAGAAUUGUGGAGAGGUAAGUGGAAUUCCGGGUGUAGCGGUGGAAUGCGUAGAGAUCCGGAAGAACACCGGUGGCGAAGGCGGCCUGCUGGGCUAUGGCUGACACUGAGGCGCGACAGCGUGGGGAGCAAACAGG
rnacentral:rRNA from 1 species